rnacentral:rRNA from 14 species
CGGAUCAUCGCGGCCUACGGCUGUGCAAGGUCUUACCUGUUAGGCUGUUUGCCAACUCAACGGUGAUGGUCUGAGCCGAGAAUGUCGUGAAAGGCCGGGAUCUAUCCGGGAAGAGGGAGGGAUG